GAGAGGAGGGGAUUACAGAGCAGCCUGCAGUGAUUGGAUGAAGAAACCCAGCACAGCAGACUCAGGAAGGAAGUGAAUGCAUGGCGAGUGAGGGAAGACUCGGUGCUUGCCUCAGACACGCCCCUUCCUGAGCAGUGGAUGUCAGAAUGAGUAAGCAGGAGAACAGAGGGAUUUGUGAGCCAAAUACAGAAGCUAGACACAUAAAAAAGACAGGUAAAGCAUCUGCAUGACCUGAUCCAAGCCUAUCCACCGACCCACCCGGCGCGGUGGGCGUCACCACCAACGACAACAUAAAGACAAGAGCCCAGCGGAAUCCCAGGGCAGUGCAGCCCAAAUUGACAUUCAAGAAAAAGACAAAAUGAAUACGGGUUGGGAAAAACGAAUACAAGUCCACUCACACCCUAAAAAGAAAAAAUCUUAGAUUCCGUCUUAUGUACAUUCCGGAUCCCAUUUCGUAGGCUGUGAUAGACUGCCACAGUUUGUUUAUGUGCACACACUCUGUUGGCAUGUUGUAAAUAAACAAUCUUA